rnacentral:rRNA from 1 species
AUACGGAGGGGGCUAGCGUUGUUCGGAAUUACUGGGCGUAAAGCGCACGUAGGCGGCACACACAGUCAGAGGUGAAAGGCCUGGGCUCAACCCAGGAACUGCCUUUGAUACUGGUGAGCUAGAGUCCGGGAGAGGGUAGCGGAAUUCCCAGUGUAGAGGUGAAAUUCGUAGAUAUUGGGAAGAACACCGGUUGCGAAGGCGGCUACCUGGACCGGUACUGACGCUGAGGUGCGAAAGCGUGGGGAGCAAACAGGAUUAGAAACCCGGGUAGUCC